AUUGAACGCUGGCGGCAGGCCUAACACAUGCAAGUCGAGCGGAUGACGGGAGCUUGCUCCUUGAUUCAGCGGCGGACGGGUGAGUAAUGCCUAGGAAUCUGCCUGGUAGUGGGGGACAACGUUUCGAAAGGAACGCUAAUACCGCAUACGCCCUACGGGAGAAAGCAGGGGACCUUCGGGCCUUGCGCUAUCAGAUGAGCCUAGGUCGGAUUAGCUAGUAGGUGAGGUAAUGGCUCACCUAGGCGACGAUCCGUAACUGGUCUGAGAGGAUGAUCAGUCACACUGGAACUGAGACACUGUCCAGACUCCUACGGGAGGGAGCAGUGGGGAAUAUUGGACAAUGGGCGAAAGUCUGAUCCAGCCAUGCCGCGUGUGUGAAGAAGGUCUUCGGAUUGUAAAGCACUUUAAGGGGGGAAGAAAAGCUCAUGGCUAAUAUCCAUGAGUGCUGACGUUACCCACAGAAAAAGCACUGGCUAACUCUGUGCCAGCAGCAGCCGCGGUAA
rnacentral:rRNA from 1 species